UGCAAGAAACACAAGAAUGAAGCCUGCCAAUGCCCCCCUCUGCUCCACGUGGCAUGGCACUGCAGCAACUCCCCGCCCGUGUGGGCCCGUGCAGUUGCACCGCCUGCACACGCGGCAGGAGACGUGGCCGCUGGUGGUGUGCCGCGUGCUCGUAGUUUUAGUGGACUGUAUCGUCCUUGCCCGCACAGGAAAUCAAAGUGGAGCCUGGGACGCGUCACGCAGCCGCCCCUACCUGCUGCCGGUGUGCGGACACGCGUCUUGUGUGGAGCAUGCCUGCAGGACAAAGGCACGCGCGGGCUGCGAGUUUGUGUGCCCGACCUGCAAGGUCCCCGGCCUCCUUCUACCUGCAGCCCGACGAAGCGCUUGGAAAUUUCCUACCCACGCUGAAGGAAAUGCUGGAGGAGCGAUUUGGUGGGAAGCCUCGGCCGCUCUACCCCGAGCGGUCGCUCGCGCAGGGCGGCCGCGGCGCUGGCGUCUGGCACCGAUCUUGUCGAGGGCUCUGUACAGCACAAACCACUGCACCUGGGCCACGGUCCGAAUCCAAAGCCUCCGUUCUGACGGUCAGAUUCAGGUCUGUUCCCGUAGUCGAGUUCACGUUUAAAUUUAUGCUGGGCAAUGAGUUGAUUGAAACCUAGAGAUGUAAAAUAGCAGACAGGUCACUUCUGUCACCAGGCCUUUUAGC